rnacentral:rRNA from 1 species
AUGAACGCUGGCGGCGUGCCUUAUACAUGCAAGUCGAGCGAACGGACGAGAACCUUGCUUCUCUGAUGUUGGCGGCGGACGGGUUAGUAACACGUGGAUACCCUACCUAUAAGACUGUGAUAACUUCGGGAAACCGUACCUAAUACCGGCUAAUAUUUUGAACCGCAUGGUUCAAAAGUGAAAGCCGUUCUUGCUGUCACUUAUAGAUGGAUCCGCGCUGCAUUAGCUAGUUGGUAAGGUAAAGGCUUACCAAGGCAACGAUGUAUAGCCGACCUGAGAGGGCGAUCGGCCACACUGGAACUGAGACACGGUCCAGACUCCUACGGGAGGCAGCAGUAGGGAAUCUUCGGCAAUGGGCGAAAGCCUGACGGAGCAACGCCGCGUGAGUGAUGAAGGUCUUCGGAUCGUAAAACUCUGUUAUUAGGGAAGAACAUAUGUGUAAGUAAAUGUGCAGAGCUUGACGGUACCUGAUCAGAAAGCAACGGCUAACUACGUG